rnacentral:rRNA from 1 species
UACGUAGGGACCGCGCGUUGUCCGGAUUCAUUGGGCGUAACGAGCUCGUAGGCGGCUGCUCAAGUCGAAUGUGAAAACUCGAGGCUCAACCUCGAGCCUGCAUUCGAUACUGGGCGGCUAGAGUCUGGUAGGGGGAUCUGGAAUUCCUGGUGUAGCGGUGGAAUGCGCAGAUAUCAGGAGGAACACCGGUGGCGAAGGCGGGAUCCUGGGCCAGUACUGACGCUGAGGUGCGAAAGCGUGGGGAGCAAACAGG